AGAACCUGAAACCGUGUACGUACAAGCAGUAGGAGCACCUUCGUGGUGUGACUGCGUACCUUUUGUAUAAUGGGUCAGCGACUUAUAUUCAGUGGCAAGGUUAACCGUAUAGGGGAGCCGUAGCGAAAGCGAGUCUUAACUGGGCGCUCAGUCUCUGGAUAUAGACCCGAAACCGGGUGAUCUAGCCAUGGGCAGGUUGAAGGUUGAGUAACAUCAACUGGAGGACCGAACCGACUAAUGUUGAAAAAUUAGCGGAUGACUUGUGGCUAGGGGUGAAAGGCCAAUCAAACUCGGAGAUAGCUGGUUCUCCCCGAAAGCUAUUUAGGUAGCGCCUCGGACGAAUACUACUGGGGGUAGAGCACUGUUAAGGCUAGGGGGUCAUCCCGACUUACCAACCCUUUGCAAACUCCGAAUACCAGUAAGUACUAUCCGGGAGACACACGGCGGGUGCUAACGUCCGUCGUGGAGAGGGAAACAACCCAGACCGCCAGCUAAGGUCCCAAAGUAUUGCUAAGUGGGAAACGAUGUGGGAAGGCUCAGACAGCUAGGAUGUUGGCUUAGAAGCAGCCAUCAUUUAAAGAAAGCGUAAUAGCUCACUAGUCGAGUCGGCCUGCGCGGAAGAUGUAACGGGGCUAAGCAAUACACCGAAGCUGCGGCA
rnacentral:rRNA from 1 species